ACUGGCAAGCUUGAGUCUCGUAGAGGGGGGUAGAAUUCCAGGUGUAGCGGUGAAAUGCGUAGAGAUCUGGAGGAAUACCGGUGGCGAAGGCGGCCCCCUGGACGAAGACUGACGCUCAGGUGCGAAAGCGUGGGGAGCAAACAGGAUUAGAUACCCUGGUAGUCCACGCCGUAAACGAUGUCGACUUGGAGGUUGUGCCCUUGAGGCGUGGCUUCCGGAGCUAACGCGUUAAGUCGACCGCCUGGGGAGUACGGCCGCAAGGUUAAAACUCAAAUGAAUUGACGGGGGCCCGCACAAGCGGUGGAGCAUGUGGUUUAAUUCGAUGCAACGCGAAGAACCUUACCUGGCCUUGACAUCCACGGAAUUUGGCAGAGAUGCCUUAGUGCCUUCGGGAACCGUGAGACAGGUGCUGCAUGGCUGUCGUCAGCUCGUGUUGUGAAAUGUUGGGUUAAGUCCCGCAACGAGCGCAACCCUUAUCCUUUGUUGCCAGCGAGUAAUGUCGGGAACUCAAAGGAGACUGCCGGUGAUAAACCGGAGGAAGGUGGGGGAUGACGUCAAGUCAUCAUGGCCCUUACGGCCAGGGCUACACACGUGCUACAAUGG
rnacentral:rRNA from 1 species